rnacentral:rRNA from 1 species
AUUGAACGCUGGCGGCAUGCCUUACACAUGCAAGUCGAACGGUAACGGGCCUUCGGGUGCCGACGAGUGGCGAACGGGUGAGUAAUGCAUCGGAACGUACCUUUCAGUGGGGGAUAACGUAGCGAAAGUUACGCUAAUACCGCAUAUUCUGUGAGCAGGAAAGCAGGGGGAUCGCAAGACCUUGCGCUGAUUGAGCGGCCGAUGUCAGAUUAGCUAGUUGGUGAGGUAAAGGCUCACCAAGGCGACGAUCUGUAGCGGGUCUGAGAGGAUGAUCCGCCACACUGGAACUGAGACACGGUCCAGACUCCUACGGGAGGCAGCAGUGGGGAAUUUUGGACAAUGGGGGCAACCCUGAUCCAGCCAUGCCGCGUGAGUGAAGAAGGCCUUCGGGUUGUAAAGCUCUUUCGGCCGGGAAGAAAUCGCAUGGGUUAAUACCCUGUGCGGAUGACGGUACCGGCAUAAGAAGCACCGGCUAACUACGUG